GGGUCGUUAGCUCAGUCGGUAGAGCAGUUGACUUUUAAUCAAUUGGUCGCUGGUUCGAAUCCAGCACGCCCCACCA
rnacentral:tRNA from 1 species